CCCUUAGAUGUUCUGGGCAGCACGCGCGCUACAAUGGUCUUCGCAAACGGAUGCAUUCUCGAAGGAGAAUGCCAAUCUUGGAAUCUAUGCCUUGGUCGGGACAGUUGCUUGCAAUUUUUCGACUCGAACCAGGAAUUCCUUGUAAUCGUGAUUCAUCACAUCACGAUGAAUACGUCCCUGCCCUUUGUACACACCGCCCGUCGCUCCUACCGAUCGAAGAGUUAGGUGAAUUGUUUUGAUCGAUAAGAUUUGACUAUGGUCAACUCUCGUUGUGAAAUUCUGUGAAUCUGACUGUUUAGUGGAAGGAAAAGUCGUAACA
rnacentral:rRNA from 1 species